UGCCAGCAGCCGCGGUAACACGGGGGGCGCAAGCGUUAUUCGGAAUUAUUGGGCGUAAAGCGUCCGUAGGCGGUUUGUUAAGUUUUCUGUGAAAGUUCAGGGCUCAACCCUGAAAUGUCGGGGGAUACUGGCAAACUCGAGACUGUCAGAGGCAAGUGGAAUUCCCGGUGUAGUGGUGAAAUGCGUAGAUAUCGGGAGGAACACCAGUGGCGAAAGCGGCUUGCUGGGACAGUUCUGACGCUGAGGGACGAAAGCGUGGGUAGCAAACCGGAUUAGAUA
rnacentral:rRNA from 1 species